ensembl:lincRNA
GCGCCAGCCUGGGCUCCCCGCCCGCUGGUGCUGCCCGGAGCGGGCGACGCGCCCUGGGCCAUUCGGGAUUUGGGGCGACGACCCAGACCUCCCCACACGCGUUCAGGCCCCUCCUCUCUCCUCCGUGUGGCCGCGAGCCCUGGGAGCGCCAGGCUAUCCUCACGCCCCCACAGGGGGAGCGAAGGCCCGAGCUCGGUGCUGGUUCAGUUCUUCACUGGUCCCUGCGUCUUAUUAAGCUCCUAUUGCAUGCAGCUUUGGGGGCACUGCAGGAGACUGAGGGAAGGAGGGAUCAGUUCCCCGCCCCUCCUGCCAGGUGGGGUCAGGGUUAGGUGGCAACGGCAGGGGCAGGGUGCUGCCCUAACCCUGACCCAAUUUGGGGUUCUGUCCUGAGCCAUGAGUACACAGCUGGCGCCUAACAGCGGCCAGGGUGUGGGUCAGGGAAGACACACUCUCCAGGCUCCCGGGCCUUCCGCCAACCCCACGGAGGGCCCGUAACCUCGACAGCAUGAAGCCAGGUUCCUUCAGGUGCAUCUGGUGACACUGAUGUUUAUUAAGCACCUACUGCAUACCAGUCUUGGGGGCUGAGGCUAAAACCUCACUGGGCAGGCUCUCCAAAGGCAUUGCUUGGAUGAGAGCAAAAGUCUGGGCUUGAAUCCUGGCUUUGCUUCUUGGCUGUGUGUGCUUGGGAGGCUCACUGCCCUCUCUGGGCCUUUGGGCUCCUGGGAGACUCCAGUGGAGGCUGGUGUGAGAAGCACCCAGAAGCCCCAGGAUGGGAUCAUUGACUUUCCAAGCCCAGGAUUGGAUGGCCAGGCUGGUGAAUGUCCCAUCCUCUAUGUGACCCCCCGCCCCCAGGGCUACAGAACAGGGCUCGGUGGGCGGGAGGGUGCAGCAAGGGCUGCCCUGAUCAGUUGAACAGUCCUGGCUGGGAGGUGACACGCUUCUUCCUGAAACAUGUUUGAUGCAUCCUUCCUAUGAACUCCUAUGCAUCCUUCAUGGCCCAGCCUGGAUGCCCCCUUCUCCCUCAACCCUUCCUGGUUGCCAGGUGGAGCCUCUCCCCUUCCUGCAGUGACUCCCUUGGUCCUGGAGGAGGCAGGGAAGGGUCCCACUGUGCAGAAAGGGCUCAGAGCAGGAAUUGCUUUCCUGUGCGGUCUCCGGCUGGCAAGAGGCAGGGCCAAGCCUCGAACCCCAUCCAGCCGACAGCAGGACGGGCGGACCAAGGCUGACCUUCUCCCCUCCCGCAGGGUCCUGGCAGCAGAGACCACGUCCCAGCAGGAGCGGCUCCAGGCCAUAGCAGAGAAGCGGAAGCGGCAGGCGGAGAUCGAGAACAAGCGCCGGCAGCUGGAGGACGACCGGAGGCAGCUGCAGCACCUGAAGUCCAAGGCGUUGCGGGAGCGCUGGCUGCUGGAGGGGACGCCGUCCUCGGCCUCGGAGGGCGACGAGGACCUGAGGAGGCAGAUGCAGGAGGACCAGCAGAAGGCGCAGCUCCUGGAGGGCUCCAUCUCCAGGUGGGCGGGCAGAGCGCGGCCGGACCCCGACCCUGACCCGGACCCUGACCCUAAAACCCUGACCCUAAAACCCUGACCCUGGCCCUAAAACCCUGACCCGGACCCUGACCCUAAAACCCUGACCCUAAAACCCUGACCCUGGCCCUAAAACCCUGACCCCGACCCUGGCCCUAAAACCCUGACCCGGACCCUGGCCCUAAAACCCUGGCCCCGACCCUGGCCCUAAAACCCUGACCCUGACCCGGACCCUGACCCUGACCCUAAAACCCUGGCCCUGACCCUGGCCCUAAAACCCUGGCCCUGACCCUGGCCCUAAAACCCUGGCCCUGACCCUGACCCUGACCCAGAGGCGGCGGGCAGCCUGUUGGAGCCAAGCACUAAGAAUCGCUGCCCAGCACCCCAUCUGAGCAGAUGUGUGAGGGACGUGGGCUCGGGGCGGCUCCAGGGUCCCCGAGGACAGGACGGAGUUGCCGGCACCGGCCUCCCCCGGGGCUUCCUGGCGCCAGCCCAGCUGGCUGGGCUGUGGCUGCCCGCUCUGCUCGGCGGCAGCUGGGCCCGCAGGAAGCGGGAGGGGCAGGAUGGGGAACGCGGUCAUCCCUGGGCCGGCGGGACACAGGCCUGGAGUUUCCGGCACGCGGGAGUCCCAGCUCCACUCGGGGCGCAGGUCAGGGCGAGGGAAGUGACGACCAGAAUCCCAAGCGCCUGCUCUGGCCGCGGAAGAGGCCCCCGGGCGGAG